AGAGUUUGAUCAUGGCUCAGAUUGAACGCUGGCGGCAUGCCUUACACAUGCAAGUCGAACGGCAGCACGGGAGCAAUCCUGGUGGCGAGUGGCGAACGGGUGAGUAAUAUAUCGGAACGUGCCCAGUCGUGGGGGAUAACGUAGCGAAAGCUACGCUAAUACCGCAUACGAUCUACGGAUGAAAGCGGGGGACUCGUAAGGGCCUCGCGCGAUUGGAGCGGCCGAUAUCAGAUUAGGUUGUUGGUGAGGUAAAAGCUCACCAAGCCUGCGAUCUGUAGCUGGUCUGAGAGGACGACCAGCCACACUGGAACUGAGACACGGUCCAGACUCCUACGGGAGGCAGCAGUGGGGAAUUUUGGACAAUGGACGCAAGUCUGAUCCAGCAAUGCCGCGUGCAGGACGAAGGCCUUCGGGUUGUAAACUGCUUUUGUACGGAACGAAACGGUCUUCUUUAAUACGGAGGGCUAAUGACGGUACCGUAAGAAUAAGCACCGGCUAACUACGUGCCAGCAGCCGCGGUAAUACGUAGGGUGCGAGCGUUAAUCGGAAUUACUGGGCGUAAAGCGUGCGCAGGCGGUUAUAUAAGUCAGAUGUGAAAUCCCCGGGCUCAACCUGGGACCUGCAUUUGAGACUGUAUAGCUAGAGUACGGUAGAGGGGGAUGGAAUUCCGCGUGUAGCAGUGAAAUGCGUAGAUAUGCGGAGGAACACCGAUGGCGAAGGCAAUCCCCUGGACCUGUACUGACGCUCAUGCACGAAAGCGUGGGGAGCAAACAG
rnacentral:rRNA from 1 species